UACGUAGGGGGCAAGCGUUGUCCGGAUUUAUUGGGCGUAAAGAGCGUGUAGGCGGUUUGGUAGGUCCGUUGUGAAAACUCGAGGCUCAACCUCGAGACGCCGAUGGAAACCAUCAGACUAGAGUCCGGAAGAGGAGAGUGGAAUUCCUGGUGUAGCGGUGAAAUGCGCAGAUAUCAGGAAGAACACCCGUGGCUAAGGCGGCUCUCUAGUACGGUACUGACGCUGAGACGCGAAAGCGUGGGGAGCGAAGCAGG
rnacentral:rRNA from 1 species